UCUUAAGUCAAUUGUUUGAUGAUUUUUUUAAAAAUUUAAGUCAUAAAUAAAUAUGUAUUAAUGUUAAUAAAUACAUGAAACACACAUGUCGAGUGGGUAUGGAAGACAUGCUUAAAGCUCAUGUGUGCUAACCAGCAUUAAAUAUUGACUCUUGAAAAAACAAUUUGUGCCACUUUUGUGUAUAAGGCAUGUCUGGCUAUGAUGGGGAGGAAAUAUAUUAUUGUAGCCCAAUGAAGAUUAUAGUAAUCCUUCAAAAAAAUUCUCACUUUCCUGUGGCUGGGCUGCAGUAACUUUUAAAUUAUUCUGAAGGUGGCAAAAUGAAAAAGGUGAAACUAAAGAAAGUUUACUGUAGUAUCUAACAGUUUUUGUUUUUUAUCCAACACAAAUGUAGGAAAGAAAAAAAAACGAGAUACGAGAUGCUUACGAUAAGGUGAGACUUUUUUGAUGAGUGCUUCAGUAAACAUUCAGAUUUUGACAGUUUCAUGUUUUCAUUAGACUAGGUAUUAUUUGAUGGUGUAUCCAUAUUUAUUUUGUUAAUUUUAUUAUAAUAUUAAGCUACCAAAGUUUGGAUGUUUGUUGCAGCUUCUGCCAAAAAAAUGUCUCUCAUUGUCUUGAACUUUGUGUAGUAAAAGUUAAGCAUAUUUUUCCCCCUCCAGGGCAUGCAUGCUUGUGUGAAGGUGCUGACGUGUUAUUUGCUACGUGAGUCUCUCUUGUUAGCUGGGUGGAAGAAGAUAAUUGACUGAGGUGUCACAUGAACAUUUUUGAUGGCAGUUAUUGUGCAUGCAUGCUGUCUUUGCUGUGUAUGAUAUAGUCUGAAAACAUGCUGGCAGUUCUAACCGCGGUGUGUACAGUUGUGGCCCCAAACAACAGCUGUGUUCAGUCCAGCUUUCACCGUUAUUUGCUUUAAGUAAGAUAUUCGGUAUCUUCAAAGUUUUGUUAUCUUUCCCAAAGUCAAAGCUGAAGAAAAGUAGUCUUCAAUUGGACUUCGGACUUCCGGAAGCUUCGUUACAGCCAUCAUUUUUAUCAUUAGCGUCAACGUUGGUGUAUGAUUGGUGAGCACAGCCAACCUGUUUGAAGUACGUGGGGGCAGGUUACUAUCAUUGUAAAGAAGUAUAACUGCCGUGAUGGUAAAUGGUGUGGAAUAUUACCACUCUCUGACUCGGAGCCAGAUUUAGAUCACACAGUGACACACAUACAUGUUCUCUGGGGUUGUCACGAUAUGUGCACUGUCCCAUAGUAGAAAAAAUGGCUUAUGGUAAUGGUAAUAUAAUUAUUUGAGACUAAGGAGCAAUCAAAAAAUUUCCCAGAUUUUGGAUUUUAUUCAUUUUCAUAAUUAACUAGUUAGAACAGGCACACAAAAUAUUUAUUAGCAGCACAAUAUUUGUUGUAAACUAUUUGUACAGUUGCAAAAAUAUUGUGAGAUAAUAUAUGCAUGGUGCUGCAAAAACUACGCAGAUAUCGUGCAAAUUCUGAACCUCUCAGAUUUAAAAUAUGUUAUAUUUUCAUUUGUGUUGAUACUUCGCACGUGUCUAUAUCUUUUGGUUCUUGCCCAUUUUUUUUAAGUAUAUCUGAUAUAAGGUAGAUAACUACAGUAGAACCCGUUUAUAGUGAACCCGCCUAUAAUGAAUUCCCGUUUAUUGUGAAUUUCCGUCUCAGUCCCGGCAAAAUGAUGUGAGGUUAUGUAUUAACUUAUUGGAUAUAGCGCACAAAUUUUGUCAAUGUUGAUACGUUUUCCCUUGUACCACGAACAAAUUUUGCCGGCAUAAUGCACAUUUAUCUGAAAUAUUUUCAUAUAAUUACAAGUUUUUUCACAAAACGUCUAUUCUGGAUCACAUUGAAGUUUUUCUCAGCAAUACGCUACUCGAUUGUCCACUGUUCAUAUUAUAAACAAGUCGUAUUCGAGUGGCCUCGGUAGGCUACGUGUAGCCAAAAAUGGUGAUCAGUUUGGUGAAAAUAAAAAAUAGUUUUCCCUGCAUAGUUAAAGAAUGGGCGAACGCAUUAACAUUUAAUAUGUUAUCAAAAUUAAACAUAAAUUACAGCCACACAAAUACGUAUGUACAUUAUAGCAGCAAAUUGAAUAUUUUUACGUCUCAUUUUAUCGUUCACGUUACGGACAUUUUUAUCGAGUAAGGUUCGUAAGACUACCACUAGAUAGAACUCUGUGGACUAAAUUUUUCCAUAGAAUGUAAGAAAAUUUCGUUCCAGCUUUAGUAACUGCGAUACUAAAUGAUGCGUGGUGAUCUUUGAUGCGUCAGACUUUUUAUUUUUCGUUUAUUUACUUUUGACGGUAAAAUUUUGUUGUGUUAUUAAGCUGCAAAUGUGCUUCAAUAAGAAAUACGUACAUAAAAAAGGGUGAAAAACGCGGUAAAAAACAUAAGGCAUUAUCUGUGCGAGAUAAACUGGACAUUACUGUCCCGCACGUGUUAACAGCAAAGGAACUGGGAAUUGCAACAUCCACAUUAAGUACAAUAUUAAACAAGAUGAACAAUCUUCUUUCACAAGCUGCGAAAACGUCACAGAGUAUUAAAUGCCUGAAAAAAGGAUAAUACGCCAAUGUCCAAGAACCAUUAGUGCGGAGAUGCAGAGUGGGGCCGGCUGUACCUUGAGACAAUUCUGGCUCGCAGCGCUCUGAACUGGCCAAAGCCUUACAUACAAGUUGGUAAGCAGAUGGUGCUCCAAUGGAAAGCCAUAAAUUUGGAAACAAAAUUUUAAUUAAUUUAUUAAAACAUGGCCUCAAUCUUAACUUGAACCUGAAAUGGUAAGUUACUAAGCAUGGUAUUUUUUUAAAGAAAAUGAUAUUGCUUUACAGUAUAUGCUUCCUUGAAAUGUAGAUAUGUUUUCCAUUUCCUAAAAAAAACUUUUUUUUUAAGUUUGAAUUUACCUACAUCACAAUCACUUUUUAGUUGUUAAAGAAUUGGUACUAGGAGGAGCACUAAAAAAUCUUAAUGAUUUUCCUCCAAACAUAAUUGCUAGUUACUACUAAUGUACUAUUAAUUAGCAUGAUAUGAGGUGUUUUUGCAAGCAUGAGAACCUACAAAAAUCUGCAGUGGUAAUGGUCAUGACUUUAAUAUCUCAUUUGUUGUUUUAAAUUAUAUAAAAAAAAUAGUAAUAUAGUAAUUAACUGUAAAUUAUCAAACUUUUUUUUUAGUACAGUCAUUUAGGUUUAUGCUUCUGUUGUUGAAGUUUUAUAUAUUUGUGUUAGUUCAAUUUUGCUACUUACUACACAGAUUUGAAUCAUGCAUUCACGAUGAUUGGGUACCAUUUUUAUCCAUGUUGUUGAUGCAGAGGCAGGACGUCAUGUGUCAAAAUUGGUAGAUUUUCUUAAACCAAAUUUAUCCCAGUGUGAAAAAAAAAAAAAAAAUUUCCACUUGGAAGCGAUAAUUAAAAUGAAGGAAUCUGUUGGGUGUGAGCCGGAGGCAAGCGCAGAUGUGCUCUACAGGGUGGUGCGCCCUCAUUGGGGCGAGGAGCGGGGUGGGGGACUUGGGGGACGUUGCAGUGAGUCUGUGGGUCUUCUCACUGCACUCCCGUAGCUGCUCCGACCCUUGUCCGCCUUCGCUGGCCUCCGAGUCAGCGAGUCCUUGUAUUGCAGUUGCACAUCGUCCAGUCCUCUUGGCUUUGGUCACGACAGCGUGCCGAGGAGGAACGUUCGUAAAAAAAAAAUCAGUAUUAUUCGAUCUCGGUUGAUAAGUUAACUUUCGUGCUAGCAUCCAAGCUGAAAGCUGUGGCUAAUGCUGUGUUUUGUUCUGCAGAAUGUAGAGGGUUGAAACGAACUUGGCCGGUGUGGUGUGCCGUAUAAAGAUGGUCCGCUGAGUUGUGUUGGGCACAGCAGAGCCCGUGUCACGUAAGUACAGGGCGUGACAGAUGCACUUAGCAGCCAGCGAAGUCACCAUGUGCAGGGAACAUCACCUGCAUCCUGUAAGUUACUGAGCAGCGACGUACCUACCAUACCUUCCGGACAUCGUUGAUGGGUGUGUGAUGAAGUGAAAUCUACUUUAUUUCUUUUCAGCUUUUGUAAGAUUCUACUUUUUUUUCUUUCUUAUACUUACCUGCAGUCUCUGUACAUGCAUAUAACGUUAGUCAAACUAUGCAGGACCAGAUAUUUUUUUUCAAUGUGGUUGGUUUAAUGUGUUUGGAGGCAAAGUCAUGUUAAGAUGUAGCAGCACAGAGAGAGAGAAAGCUGAAGAUGUACAUAUAUGUAAGGGAGGGGUGGAAGGGGGCAAAGCCCAGAAACCAAUUAGCCUAAUGGGUCCAACUGGGAAAACAUUUUCCCCCUGCCAUAAAAAAUUUUUUAACUACGUAUUUCACUUUUUGGUCUGAUGUGUUUCUGACACAUCUGCCUAACACCAGUAAUCUAACAGCAGCACUGAUAACACGGAGUUCACCAGAGGGCUUACGGAAUAGCAAGUACGAGCCCUCCACUUAGCACCAAUGUGUCGGAUAAAUGUCUUCCGACUUUGGGAAAUAAAAAAAAAUUGCUUUUUCAAUGCCAGUAUUGAAAAUAUUGUUCGUAAAGUCUCCCUGCAAUCCCUGACAAUGUACAGUAAAACUCGCUUAAGACGUUCCUGCCUAACACGUUUUCCCGUUUAUUAAGUUCAAAAAAUUAUUCCCUUGAUCACUUCCAUAUAUCUCUAUGUUAAUAUUUCCCUUUCAUAACGUUUGUCUUUAUAUAUGCUUCCCGCAUAUAACGUUCAGCGUUUGUGGGAAAAAAAAAAAAAAAUAAUAUCGUUUAUCUUUAAGCUUUUGAACAAUUUUUAAGGUUAAUUUUAAAAAUUUACAUAUUUCCGAACGUUUAAUACCGUAUUGGUCCGAAUAUAAGGCGGCCAUUUUUACAUAAACGAGAUGCGAAAAUUGGAAGACGCCUUAUUUUCGCACCCAAGACGUCAGCACCGCUAACAUUAGUUCCAAGCUGAAAGCUACAGUAGAAACAUUUUUAAACAUAAUGUUCACGAUUUUUUAUAUUAACUAAAACAUUGUUACCUCACACGGGGAAAACGAUAUAUCCACCCAAUAUUGCAGUAAUUCACAAUUGUUUAAAGUUGAAAAUUAAAAUAUUUGUUCUUGAGUAAUAAUGUGAAUGUUGAAGCAUCUCAAAAUGGCAACCUUUUAUUACACAAUUCAUAUUUGUACUUUGUGUACAAUCGCGUGUUAACAUUCACGGUAAUUUAAUUUCAGAUUUUUAACGGAAAUAUUUGUACUUAAAUAUCACAGCUAUUUUCAGAACGAUUGUUUACGUUUACAAACAGAAAAUGUUAAGAACAUUUCAGAUGUAAUGUUUGGAAAUUCAUGGUUGCCAACUAUCGUUCCACAAUAUUUCUUUGUUGUAAAACGAACAUUGCCGAACACGCACGAAGACGCCAUAUUUACAGGAAUAUGGUACGUUGCUUCAAAAUCUAUUUUAAUAAUUUCACAGUAAUCCACUCUUUAUUUAUGUAAAAACCUUUCAAACAACUUAAUUAUCUUAGAUUAUUCUUUAAAAUUCAUAGGACAGAGACUCUGUCAGAGAGUAAUAUGGACAAAUAUUCGCGGUCACGUCACCAAAGUUAUUCAUGGCCGUAUGCUUCACCAUGGCAGCUAGCCACUUGUUUUGUUCCGGCAAGCUGCAUUCUUUAUUUGCUUUGUUACGUUUAACACACUACUAAAUAGUAAUACGUAGCUGUGAAACGGAAAGUUAAAUGCUGUAUACAUAAAUGUAAAAAGGAUUUAUCAACACAAAACGUACGUCUAAUGAAUUUUCACAAUAAUUUCUACCAAAAUUAUUUUUGCAUUUGUUUGGCCUCCUGAAACUGCAGGUUGUCUUAUAUUUGGGCCAAUACGGUAGUUAAUUUGAACAGAACAAGACCGUCGAAAAACCUGCGCCGCACGCCACACGCUGUUACUUGUGUGCUAGAAAAUCUGGAAAAAUUAUAUAAAUGUCAAGAUUACUGCACACUAGUAGGUAAGAAUUAAACCAAAAUAUUGGCAGCACACACUACCAGACAAAACAAAAAUAUGGCGGACAUGACAUUAUACUAGCUGACAAUAUAUACGUUGGCAUGUGUGGUGUUAGUCUGCUGGCGGCUUCUGCAGAGAAUGGAUCUAUCAAUAUUUAUUUUUCCUCUCACCAGUUUCGAACCAAGGACUCCAUGAUGUAAGUAAAUUUUUAAAUAGUAUUUUAUUAAAAUUUAUUAAAUAAUUUUUUUAUAAACUUAUAAUUAUUUCCUGAAUUUCUUGCAUAAAAAAUACAGAUUUUCAAAAUGGCUGCCAUAGCUAAAAGAGUGACUAUGUCGUCAUAGUCAUCCAAGAUGGUGGGGCAUAACGAAACAUGAAACAUUUCUAGAACUCAAGAUGGUGACCUUAAAAAUAUGUACAACAGUGUUUUAAAAUGAUUUUUAUAAAAAUUUUAUUUUAUAAUUUUUCCAGAUUUUUUAGCAUAAAAAUUAUGGAUUUUCAAGGUACGGCCGUAACGAAAAUUGCAACAGUUACAUUUUAGUACUAGAUGACGUGUGUUACUUAAAACAAUUUUAUUAACUUUUAUUGAGAAUGUUUUAAAUAUAUUAAUAAAUUACUGGUUUUUCUCGGCAGGAAUCGAACCAAAGUCAGAAAUCUAUUAAGUAACUAAACAUUUGAAGUUUGCAAUUGUUUUAAUAUUUUUUAUAAUUUUUUGAUCAAAAAUUAAAGAAUAUUAAUUUUAUGGUCAAGGUCAAAUCUCCCCAUCCGCGGUUCAGGGGCUGCUUGCUUUUAGGUGUCUUAAGCUGCUUUAAGGAAUUUUGGUUCUUUCUAAAGCAAAAGCCUUUUGAGGUUUUUUGAAUUAUGAAUUUUUUAAUUUAUCAGGAAUAAAACAGGAAUUUUCACUCAAAACGGGAAUUUUCCCCUCAUAAUUAAAAUUUUUUUUUGGAAUGUUGAGUUUAGUCUGAGAUGGCCGCCGUAAUGUCACAAAUCAAGAUGUGGUUUGACUCGCGUCUCUAGCACCUGUACCCGGAUGCCCUAUUGUAUACUACUAUUGUUUUUCCGAUUGUGCUUCCUUUUCGUUGAUUGUGUGUCGUUUCGGUAAAGGUGCGUAGUCAGAUCUGUAAUAGAUCAUAAUAUUUACUGGUUCAAAACCUCUUAGUAUUGAUAAAACUUUUUUCAGCGAUUCUUAGUCCUUUAGUAAGUGUAAAACAUGUUACGUUAGUCUAAUUGAUUGUAACGGAGUUCAUGAUACUUUAGGUUUGACAACUUUGUCUUGACUGGUUGAAAUAUGUUAUAUUAGUUAUCGAUGAAUGUCAUGAGGUUCGGAAAUGUGUGGCCUAUACGUCUAAUAUUGUUCAUGACCUGGUCUGGUUUUGUGAUUCGAAGAAGCUUGGCCUAUAUGUAUAGUACUGUACAUGAACUGUUAGAAUGUAUUUCAUGUAUCGAAAAUAAUUGACUUCCAUGUUAGGCAACAUAAUAACAUAUUUAAUUCGUCGGACAGGUAUUUCGUCUAGUGUUUUUUUCUUUGUAGAGUGAAUGAUUAAUAAUCUCCACGAAAGUUUUGGAAAACAGAAUAUAAAAAUUAUUUUAAGCUUUAGUUAUCCUUGCCACUGGCCGAGAGCCAAACCAAGGACAGAAAUCUGUAAAACCAAUCAUCAUUUUAAUAAGUGAAUUUUUUCCAAAUUUAUAUUUAAAUCAAUACAUAUCAGCUGACCGGAGUCCGGUAUUUGAGUAAAUUAAGCUGCUUUGGGGGUUUUUGAAAAUAAUUUAUUAAAUAAGUAUUUUUUCACAUAUUUGCAUUGGUCAAAGAUCGAAGGACAGGAAUCCAUUAAUUCAAUGAGUAAAUUGAGUGAAUUUUUUGAUGUAUUUAAAAUAUAUCCCUAAAUUUCUAAGUUAAUUAUUAUGAAUUUUCAAAAUGGCGGACAUAUCGGCUUAUAGGAGGUUGGUUAGCUAUGAUAGUAAGCUUCCUAAGGACAUUCCACCUAAUUUUAUUGAAAUUAAUAAUCUUACAUAAAAUUAAUUUUUUUGUAUCGCCCAGGGUUCAAACCAAGGACAGGAACUAAUUGAAUCAACAAGUAUAUUAAAUGCAAAUUUAUUUAAUGAAUUUUGGAAUUUUUCACAAUUAUUUUUAGCUAACUAAUUAAGAAUUUCCAAGAAAGCACCCAAAUGUCAAGAUGGCUGGUGCCACAGUAAUAAUAGAUUACUGCACUUUUAUCAGGUAAAAAUUAAAAUAAUAUGAUGGUAAAACACACUAGCAGAUGGCUUGUGUACUACAUGUACCUAGUGCUCCUUGUAUCAAUUACUGUAAUAAACAUGGCAUCAGCGCACACUCUAGCCUAUGAUGUGUUCACUAGCACUCCUGGUAGCAAGCAUUGAAAAUUAAUAUGACAGUUCAGUCUCGAACAGGCGAUGUUAAUAUUCCUUCAAAAAAAAAAAAUCUAAUUCAAUUAUGUGUUAAUCUUUAUAUACCUUAUUUAAUUCUUAGUCUGGAAAAUGUUGCAAUGUCCAUUCGGUGAAAGGUGAAUGUUUUUCAACUUGAAAGUCAAAGCUGUGUCUGUUUGAAUUAGAACUUCUAUAAGUUUUGCAUAAAAAAUUUAAUUGAAUAUGAUGAAUAAGUCCAUAGCAGCUCUGAUAAGUAAUGGAACACUGACAGCAACACUGGUGCUCUCAAGGAAGUGUCAGUAGAAACAAGCUGGUCUCCUUGUGCUAAAAAAAAGGUGGACAGUGUUGAAGAAACAUAAAAUUUGUUGUGUCAGUAUGCUAAAAUCUUGCCUCUUUUAAAUGUAUUAAAUAAACUUCAGUGAGAUAUUA